rnacentral:lncRNA from 1 species
GACUGAUGAGAGACUGUGACCAGUACAUCCAUCUUGUGUUCUCAAAGACUAGAGAGCUGAAACUGGGGUCAACAUCUGGCUGUGAACCUGAUGGGCAGAUCAAUUUAGGCCUUGAGUUUCUAUCGAUAUCAAUCCCCUUGUAGACUCUUACCCUGUAAAGGCCACUUAAGCACAAGAGGUCCCAUCAAGUUAACAUGGAUUCCCUCAUCAAUCGCCCUCUGGAUGCAUGGACAAUGGGCUUAGCAGCUAUUUUAAAAGUUGCAAAGCCCAUGUGUUAUGUCUGAUGGCCAGAC